rnacentral:rRNA from 1 species
CCUACGGGAGGCAGCAGUGAGGAAUAUUGGUCAAUGGGCGCGAGCCUGAACCAGCCAAGUCGCGUGAGGGAAGACGGUCCUAUGGAUUGUAAACCUCUUUUGUCGGGGAGCAAAAGACGCCACGCGUGGCGUUCCGAGAGUACCCGAAGAAAAAGCAUCGGCUAACUCCGUGCCAGCAGCCGCGGUAAUACGGAGGAUGCGAGCGUUAUCCGGAUUUAUUGGGUUUAAAGGGUGCGCAGGCGGAAGAUCAAGGCAGCGGUAAAAUUGAGAGGCUCAACCUCUUCGAGCCGUUGAAACUGGUGUUCUUGAGUGAGUGAGAAGUAGGCGGAAUGCGUGGUGUAGCGGUGAAAUGCAUAGAUAUCACGCAGAACUCCGAUUGCGAAGGCAGCAUACCGGCGCUCAACUGACGCUCAUGCACGAAAGUGUGGGUAUCGAACAGGAUUAGAUACCCGAGUAGUC